GACGAACGCUGGCGGCGUGCCUAACACAUGCAAGUCGAACGGGGCUCUUUGGAUCGAGACUUCGGUCAAGUGAAUCUGAGCUUAGUGGCGGACGGGUGAGUAACGCGUGAGCAACCUGCCUUUCAGAGGGGGACAACAGUUGGAAACGACUGCUAAUACCGCAUAAUGUGUUUUGGGGCAUCCCUGAAAUACCAAAGAUUUAUCGCUGAAAGAUGGGCUCGCGUCUGAUUAGCUAGUUGGUGGGGUAACGGCCUACCAAGGCGACGAUCAGUAGCCGGACUGAGAGGUUGAACGGCCACAUUGGGACUGAGAUACGGCCCAG
rnacentral:rRNA from 1 species